rnacentral:rRNA from 1 species
AUGGCGUCGACGGCGAGGAUAACGAGGGCCGCGCUGCUCGUCGCCGCCGUCGCGUUGAUGCAGUGCUGCAACGCGGUCCUCGCGGCGAGGUUGCUGGAAGGGGACGGCGUUGACGUGUGGCUGCGGCAGGGCGCCGGGUCGCUGAUCAUGCAGGCCCUGCCCAGGGGCGGCUCGCCGCCGGGCGCAGGCAACUCGUGCUGGAACGAUCCCAAACACCCCCCGUCGUCGGGGAGCUGGCUCGCCCGCCGUAUAGCUCCUCCCGACGUUGACAAGCUUGUUUAG